rfam:Salmo salar isolate Sally breed double haploid chromosome ssa09, whole genome shotgun sequence.
AAUGUAUGCAAAUGUAAGUCACUCUGGAUAAGAGCGUCUGCUAAAUGACGUAAA